CAGGUACACCACAACUUGGAAUUUGGAAAGAACCAAAAUAACCAGUUAGGACAGAAAUAGCAAAUGUGAUACCCAACCACAAAAGGGCCAUGGUAACGAAUGAAUGCAUAUGAUAAUAAGUUGAGACCACUAUCGGAUCACUAACCUAUAGGAAAAAGACACUCCAACAUUAUUAAGGUAUGGGUCCCAAUCAUCCAACAAACUUUGCAUGGGUGAAGCCUGUUGACUUCAGUGGGACUCUGCCCCGGCACAGAUGUCUGGCGAAAGAAAAUUUACUGAAUGAUGGAGGACUUCUUAGGCAAUUGACUAGGCCAUGGAUAACAGUCUUUUUAAAAGGAGAAGGGAGAUGGGUGGUUAUUUUUACAGAACAUAUGGCUAUGUUGUAAUGUUAGGUGCACAAUUCUUGCUGCUCUUGAUUGAGGAUGAGGAAGAGAUCAAAUGAAUGUGUGUAGGGAACAAUGACUCAUGUGGUUCCACUUCAAGGCUUCCCUUUGUCAAUCAGCCCAACCCAGAGAAAAACGCAGAAAAUUGCCCAGGGAUUUAUAAUUCCCUGAGAGUAUGGGAGCAUUUGAGAGAGGGGGAAGAAAUGGAGCUAUUCAAAGGCAUAGCAGAGUUACUCACAAUAUCUCAUGUUCCAGAUUUGUAUCCUGAACUUUCAAAAAAGCUGAAGGAAAAACUGAUUCUGGCUUUUUAUAAUAUUUUAUUUAAUGUUGGUCAAAAUAUAAUUAGUCCAUAUACACAACAGAAAGUUAUACCAUAAAAGGACCACCUGUGAGAGGGAUUUAGUCAAGGAUGGAGUGACAGUAAUAUCCAUUCCAUGCCAAGAAUAGUGGUAAGGCACAGAACACCCUCACAGCUUCUUUGAAGCAACUAUUACAGCUCAUGGCCAUGAUCCUGCAACUUGCUGUACAUGGGCAGACACCUAUGCAGAGCCAGUUUAACUUCAAUGGGGACCCAUGCAAGUGUAAGGGGCUGCCCAUAUGUAAGUCAACUGCAGGAUUAGGGCCGCUACUUAAAGCUCUUGUGCCCCACACAAUGAUUUUGACUGCUGGACUCAUCUGGCCUUAUGGUGCACCCCAACGUUUCCCUUGGGUGUGGCCUACAGAGCAGAGCCACAGUGUUUCCAAGGCUGUGCAAAUUCUUCCUGCUGUCUCCAGGGAAUCCCUCUACACAGUAGAGCUGUGCCAGUUCCACUGUUUUGGGUUUGUUGUCCAUGAGGAUCAAUGUUUUAUCCUGAAAGGAAGGCCAUCAAUUAUUUUUGCAAGUGAGACACUCUUACACAAUUAUUGUAAUUGUUCCCAUUCCUCACAGGAAAUACCUCCCUAAGCAAUGUUUAUAGAGUGCAGAAAAAUCAACUGACUAAAAACAAAUGAGAAAUGGUUAUGAAAAUCUCAUCAGUUAGCUUUCAAAGAAAUACAUACAAAACCAUCAAAAGUGGGAGGCAGAGUUCAGUUAUUAAAUCUCUGAAGGAGAUUGGUUAGGCACACAAGAAAGCUGAAUUAAGGUUGCAUGGGCAAGCUUAAUUCUGGCACUUCCUAACUUUUAAGUCCUUGAAUCUGCAACCUUAAUGUUCUUGUAAUGAAGUUUUUGUGUGGAAUUUCCUAGCUUUAAAAAAAACUAAAACAAAAAAACAAAUUCCAUCAUGCGGCAACACUGACACCACCACAUGGUUUAAUCAGCAGAUUUGGAGCCUUUAGAUCCACUGCACAGACCUCUGCCACUAAUGGAAUAACUGAUAGAGGUUGACAACCUUCUACUGCUAUGUGGGGGUUGACGACCACACAUUUUGCCAGUGAGUUUCACUGAUAUUUGUUGACAGCAGAGGAGUGAUGAGACUCAGAAAUCUUGAGUUCCAUUUUGGGCUCUCGAGGGGAACGUGCUGUAAUGGGCAGACUCUUCUGCCCCAUCCCUCCCAACCUGUCUGUCUUUUCCCCCUACUCCAAUCCUAUUCUCCUUGGUUAACUGAUCUUCUUUCAGCCAAUUCCCCUUCCUCUCCCAGCUCCUUUUCUGAUCCGUCUAUCCCUGCACCCUGGAUCCCAAUCUCUCUCUCUCUCUGGGCUUCUCAUCCCAAUCUCAGUCUUCCCUCCCCAUCCCCUGGCUCCUGUCCCAGUGUCUUUGCCUAGCUGGUCCUAGUUCUUCCCCCUCCCCAACUCCCAA